rnacentral:rRNA from 1 species
UACAGAGGGGGCCAGCGUUAUUCGGAAUUAUUGGGCGUAAAGAGCGUGUAGGCGGCCAGGUAGGUCAGCUGUGAAAACUCGAGGCUCAACCUCGAGACGCCGGUUGAAACCAUCUGGCUAGAGUCCGGAAGAGGAGAGUGGAAUUCCUGGUGUAGCGGUGAAAUGCGCAGAUAUCAGGAAGAACACCCGUGGCUAAGGCGGCUCUCUAGUACGGUACUGACGCUGAGACGCGAAAGCGUGGGGAGCGAACAGG